ensembl:lncRNA
GGGCGCCGAGCCCGCGGGAGUGGGCCCAUCCUCGUCCAACGUCUGUGCCGUUAAUGUCCACAUUGUGCUGGACGAGGAGGGACGUCCUCACUCUUUUUGCUCAUAUUGUUUGGCCUUUUAGGGGGAUGGACUGUGGGAGUGUUUCUGAUGGUAAACGGGAUACUGGAGCCUGAUAAAACUGCUCUAAUGAAGAGGUGCUGACGAAGCAACUCCUUCCAAUUCUUACCAAAUGACUGCAGGUUCUCAGAAGAAAUCGAGCCUUAGAGACGUUUCCUGGACACGUUGGGUCGUGGCUGCUUCUCAAGAGAACAUUUAUGGCCAAUGAUCUCAUCAGUGGGCAGAUAUUCCUGAAAGUGAACAUUGAGGCAUUGUCGAGGUAAAUCAAAGAUCCCCGGCGAGGCUCGCCAGUGGCCUUUCUCUUCCUCAUUGCAGUAAAUCUACAAAAACAGGCCAGAGCUUUCAUCCCGCCGGCCUUUUUCUCGGUAUUAAAUGCUAAAUUAUCGGCUGAAACUUCAUGAAGAUCUAACGGCGGUUACUGGAGACAAGCGAUGGAUUUCCCCCCGAUGCCCAAAGCACCGGAGAUGAUUCACGACGCAAACACCGGCCGAAGGCGUGUUUGGUGAGAAGAAACCUUUAGUCAUCGACCUGCUCGUCCAUGGUGAUCACGUGACGCACCUCGGCCGCAGCCACUCCGAUGUCGGCACCUUUCACACAGUGGCUCGGUGCAAAAAGUCACUGCACGCUUCUUGUUGGCUUUGUUCCGACCUCUUAAUUUACCCCCCCGACGGCGAGAUUGUGUUUCUGGUUUUUGUUCGUUUGUCUGGAUUAUCGCUGCACUCGGCGGGAAGGUGAGCCGCCGGCCAAAGGAAGGAGCCGUGGCAUUUGGGAGUGGAUCCGCAUCACUGGGCCGGUACCUGGACUUUGCAGAACUGCAGGAUUAGCGAACAAUAAAAG